GAUGAACGCUAGCGGCAGGCUUAAUACUUGCAAGUCGAGGGACAGCACAGGUAGCAAUACUGGGUGGUAACCGGCAAACGGGUGCGGGACACGUACACAACCUUCCUUUAAGUGGGGGAUAGCCCAGAGAAAUUUGGAUUAAUACCCCGUAAUAUAGUUGAAUGGCAUCAUUUGAUUAUUAUAGCUACGGCGCUUAAUGAUGGGUGUGCGGCUGAUUAGAUAGUUGGCGGGGUAACGGCCCACCAAGUCUACGAUCAGUAGCUGAUGUGAGAGCAUGAUCAGCCACACGGGCACUGAGACACGGGCCCGACUCCUACGGGAGGCAGCAGUAAGGAAUAUUGGUCAAUGGACGCAAGUCUGAACCAGCCAUGCCGCGUGAAGGAUUAAGGUCCUCUGGAUUGUAAACUUCUUUUAUUUGGGACGAAAAAGGGCCUUUCUAGGUCAACUGACGGUACCAGAUGAAUAAGCACCGGCUAACUCCGUGCCAGCCGCCGCAGUAAAAC
rnacentral:rRNA from 1 species